GACAGAGUGUCUUGACAUAACCCUUGAAAAAGGAGUCCAGAGCAGUCACAAGUCCGGUGUAGUGGCAGACAAGAGGCUCAAGCAGGAGGACUCAAGUUUGAGCAACACUCUACGGCAACAGAUACCAUGGGUAGGGACGAAGGUCAGGAGUAGAAUACUUAUGGAGCAUAUACAGAGGUUUAAUCACUAGCACUGAAAAGACAGAGAGGAGGAAGGAGGGAGGGAGACGGGGAGAGGGAGCUGCAGGUCUGACCCCUAGUCGGUUUGAGCUGACCUGGUGGCCUAGUGUCUCCAAGCAUCAGUGUCCACAUCUGUGAAGUUAGGAAGGGUAAUAGCUCAGAUCUCAUAUCCCUGAGGGUGAAAGAAAAUGACAUAUCUUAAGAGCACAAGGGGAUGGGAAGAUAGCUCAGAUGAUAAAAUAUUUGCCUUACAGGUAUAGGACCUGAGUUCAGUACCUACUGCCAGCAUUAAAACACACACACACACACACACACACACACACACACACACACACACACGCAUACGCACACACAGACAUUCUCUCUAUCUCUUUACGAAGUACAGCCAGGGACUGGCAAGAUAGCUCAGUGGUCAAGAACACUGACUGUUCUUCUUGAGGACCUGGGUUCAAUUCCCAGCACCCACAUGGCAGCUCACAAAUGUCUGUAACUCUCGUUCUAGGGGAUCUGACACCCUCAUACAUACAUACAUGUUAGCAAAACACCAAUAUACAUAAAAUAAUAAUAAAUAAAUCAUUUUAAAAAAAGAGGUAUAACCAGUGACUCAUUUUCCUAAUCCUAGGACCCAAAUAUUACGUUCAUAUUAAAUACCCAUUCUUUGUGUAUAAACAUGCAUCUGAUUUGAAUGUAAAACUUUGCUGAGUAUCUCAGACUGUCUUGAAACUCAUUUUGAGGCCCAGGCUGGCCUUGAACUUGCCAGCAUCCUUUAGCCUCAACCUCCCAUGUGCUAAGAUUACAGAAGUGCAUUACCAUGCCCAGCUUUUUAUAUUUUUAUUUUGUUCUGUUUCUUCUACAUUUCUAGAAGCUUCUUUUAAGCAUUUGUGUGUGUGUGUGAGUGUGUGUGUGUGCGUGCGUGUGUGUGUGUGUGUGUGUGUGUGUGUGUGUGUGUGUAUGUGUGAGGAUGUGCAUGCCAGUCAUACAUGAGGCCAGAGGAGGUGUCCAGCUCUACAACUCUCCAUCUAUUCUCCUCAACAGGGUCUCUCAUGAAUCUGGAGUUAGGCUGGUGGCCAGCAACACCCAGUAAUCCUGUUUUUGUCCCCUCUUGCCGCCCUAGGGUUACAGGCCUGUGGUCACACCUAGCUUUUAAUGUGGAUGCUGGGGAUUUGAACUCAGGUCUUCGUGUUUAUGCAACAUGAACUCUUACCCUCUAAGUCAUCUCUCCAGCCCUUCUAGUUAAGUUUCUUUUGAAAAAUCCUGUCCAAAGGUGGUGGUGGCGCACACCUUUGAUCCCAGCACUCAGGAGGUAGAGGCAGGUAGAUCUCUGAGUUUGAGGCCAGCCUAGUCUCCAGAUUGAGUUCCAAAAUAGCAGAGAAACCCUGUUUUGAAAAACUAAUGGAGCUACACAGAGACACCCUGUUUCUAAAAACAAAAAAACAAAAAAACAAACAAAAAAAACAAAAAAAAAACAAAAAAAAAACCAAACAAACAAAAAAAAAAUUAUGAUCAUGCCUCACUGAAUUCUGGGAAAAUGAGUCUAUUCAUCCCAAGAACAGUAGGUGAGGGCUGCCUUUUGUACCCAACCACCAUAGUGACAGCUGGAAAUAUGGCAAAUGUGCCUCAGUGAGGAAAAACUAAGAAGUAAGCUAUUUGGGACAGCGGUAAACGGUUACUUUGUUCUUUUCUCAUCCAAGAGAGUUACCUUUUGUCUUGUUUUCUUAACAAACCAUAGCUUCUUGGUUAGUAUCCUCUGAUGCCCCUCUAGUGUCUGUCUGCAAACUAGAAAUAACAAGCAAUGCUAUCAGCUUCCUCAGGCAUUCGUGGGGAUUGGAUGAGAUAAUACACAUAAGCGCAGAGCUCCAAAGCCUGGCCAAAUGUGUGUUCAACGGACAUUCACAUUCACUAUUUGGUGGUGUCCAGAAUGCUGGCCACACUGCAGGACAAGUGUCCAAGGUUGCUGAAUGCCAGCUUCCACCCCCAGGAGCUGUUGUGUGAUUUGACUCCCUGCAGUACACCAAAUCCAGUCCUCCACUGCCAACUCUAUGAGAUUGAAGGUAGCUGCAGCUGUCUGCUUGGGGACUCUGAACUAAUUCUGGCGCUUAGCAUCAGUGUGGAUGGGCCAGGCAGUAGCCAUGAUAAUGAGGAAAACAGCAUCUUGGUGAUGGUUGCCAGAGGCCCCAGAGCACAGGACACCAGCCGUCCCUCAGAGAAGCGGCUGUCUGCCCAGGCUCUUGGCUCAAAUACCUUGUGAAAUUUAACUUCCUCUCUCCUUUCUCCUUUUAAUGGAAAACGAACCUUCUCAGCCCAGGUCCUCAGUGCCCACUAUCUAGUGAGACCUUUAACUUAGUAAUGGGACUGGGAACUUUUAGAAGCCCUAGCAUCAAGUGCUCCAUUUUAAAAUUCGAAGGUUGCCUCCAUGGUUCCUAUUUUCUGUCCUACCCUCACAUGUUAGGAAUAACCAUGGAGACACAAGUUUUAACUUUAUUUCCUCAUCCAAUUGUUUCUACACUUCUAAGAGCCCCCCUGUACCCAUGGGUCAUUGGGUUCAGGACCCUCUGCAGUUACCAAAAGCCCAAGAUACCCAAUCCCUUCUAUGAGAUGGCAUUAGGACCUACUUAAAAUCACUUCUGGAUUCCUUACAAUGCCUAAUACAAGGUAAAUGUUAAUUAAGCAACGGUUAUACUAAAUUAUUAAGGAGCAAUGACACUGGGGAAAGUUUGUACAUAUACAAUCCAGAUGCAAUUUUCAGUCUGUGGAUAGUCGAAUCCGAGGAUGUUGGGUCUGUGUGGAUACAGAAAGCCAACAGUAGCCCUAUGCAUCCCAGUUUUAGAGAAAAGGAAGUGAUCUCAGUGAGCCCAGGAGCCUUGCUGAAGAUCACACAGCUAGAGAGGGAGCCGCUAGACCUAAUUCAAAGCUUCUGAUAGCUGCUCCGUUACUCUGUAUCUUCUUCCCCGAGGGGUGGGGGGUCUGGCGCUCCAUGCUCAGAGCAGUGUGCCACACGAGGGCAGAAGGGAGGGUGGGACACAGUUACGCCUGUGAGCUGCCUGCUAGCCUUGGCUGAUAAAAACUGCCUUCCAGAACUUCAGAGACUUUUUGUGCAGCUCUCUACAUGAUCUGGCAUUUGCCGCUGGGUCUUGGAUCUUUAGAACUCUUCUUCCAGGCAGACCUGCUGGGCCUUUGAACAUUUGCAGGCUGAGAAGGGGUCUGCAAUGCCUAUUCCAGCUGUCUCCAGUCUGGGGCCCUGUACCUGUUGUCUACAGGCUGGUAGCUGCCUUUGGGAGCUGCAGAAAGGCCAGUUAGGGGUCUCCAGAGAGGCCAGACCCUGGGCUAGUUAGAAGAGGACCACCUGGGCUUGGGUCAUAAGAUUCCAGCCUCUUCUGGAAGGCUGACAUAGCCUUAGCUCAGAACCCUGCCUUGAUAGCCCUUUCUCGUCAGCAGAUUUCUACUUCCUGGGACUGGCAUUGGUAUAUCCCAGGCCCUCUUCUCUAGGCUCCUUUCCCUUGCACCCUGGCUUUGAGGUCCAGCUGAACUACUCUGUUCUCCCGCCUGGCUGUCCUGAUAGCUAAAUAGUAGCUGUGGUUAUCAGGAAGCUCUGCUGCUCCCCGAAGCUUGGGAAAAUACCCUGCACUUGACCUUGACUCCUGGGUGAAGAGGAAUGUCAAGGCUGGAGCUCGAAUAGGGACUGCUGGCCUGGCAGGCUGCCUGUCGAUGCCUUGGGGUGAGUGGUGGGGACAGGCAGGGGUGGAGGAGGUCAGUGAUUCUCCCAGCAUAGGACUUCAGGGGGUAACAUCUCAUCCUGGGUUCCCUUUCCCGUGCCACAGCUUUAGGGUGGCUGUUGAGACUGUUCCUGUCAUUCAUAAACUGCUAAGAUUCAGUGUCCUGGGAACUUGUCCCGACAUCGCGUUGUCUCUGAUGAGGCUGGUGAACUGCCCAGAGUUGACAGAGAAGCACUGGUGAAGUGCAGGAAUCUUGUCUAAAAAUUGUACUGGAAAGAUAGCAAAACAGUUAAAAGCAGUUGUCACUCUUGCAGAGGACCCAGAGUCAAUUCCCAGCAUCCACAUGGUGUCUCGCAACCAUCUGUAACUCCAGUUUCAGGGAUCCAACACCCAUUUCUGACCUCCUUGGGCACCAGGCACAUAUUCGGUGCGCAGACAUGCAUGUAGACAAAACACUUAUAAAAUAAAUAUCUAAAAAAUGUUAAUGGCAAGCAGACCUGGGGCAGAGGUUUUCAGUUUUUGCAUUUUCGUUAUUCUUGAGACAGAGUCUUGGUCGACAGUUCAGGCUGGCCUCAAACGUGUUGUUUCCUGCCUUAACACACCAGUAUGUACCUCACACAAGGUCUAGCUUUGGAAUAAUGGUUUUAAAAGCUAUGUUCUACUAAGCCUAUGGUUCCACCACGGUGCCCCAAAAACUGAUUAACAGUGAAGGGUGAGGAGGACAUGGUGGGCCCCUUUUCAGCCACAGGAGUUCCCAUAUUUCCUGUUCACUGUCUUGAUCCGGGCUAUGAGGCUCUGGUGGUCUGGUCCCUGUGUCCCUUCAGCAUCACCCCAGACUAUCUGCUUGUUUUGCCCAGGGCAGCUACUUGCCACAGUGCCUUCCUACCAGGGAUUUUCCUCCUAAUCUCUCUUCCCUGGUUCAUUCACAUCUUUUUUCUUGGUACCCUUUAGAUCAUAGCUCAGAUGUCUCUCUUUGCCUUUCCUAAACCCGUCUACUCUGGGUCAUGUGACUAGCUGCAUGCGUCUCUUUCCUACCUCUGCUUCCCUUGGAAGUUGAAUUAGUUAUCUGAGAACUUUCCCAUCUGUCUGCUACACCGGGCUGUAAGUAAGCUCAUGGGGACAAGGACUGGGUCUGGAUUGCAUCCAACACAACCUCUGGCCCACAGUAAGCCCUUAAAAAUUGCUGAUUGAGCCUCGUUGUGGCGCACACCUUUAAUCCCAGCACUUGUGAGUUUGAGGCCAGCUUGGUCUACAGAGUGAGUUUCAGGAUAGCCAGGGCUACACAGAGAAACCUUGUCUUGAAAAACAAAAACAAGAAACAGCAACAACAACAACAAAUGUUGGUUGAGUGCUAGAACACUGACCAAAGGUUUUUGCUGCCAAAGUAGAAAGGCCUGAAAUCAUGGCUGAAAGCUCUCUGUUCUCAGGUUCAUUCUGGUUCUGCAUUCAUAUCAAAACAAAAAAUAAACAAGAAAACACACUUGCUCCUACCACCAACAGAUUGCUGGUGUCCCUAAUCCCAUUAAAAUUACUCCAGGUCUUCUUUUGUUGUGGUGGUUAUUGUUGUUUUGUUUUGUGUUUUGAGACAGGGUCUCUUUUUGUAGUUCUGGCUGUCCUGGAGCUUGCUAUGUAGACUAGGCUGACCUCAAACUCAGAGAUCCCCCCUGCCUCUGCCUCCCAAGUCCUUAGAUUAAAGAUGUGCACCACUACUGGUCUUAACUUCUGAGAUGCUUAGAAGAGAGUGAUGUGGACAGCAAUAUGAAGAAAAAAAUCAAAGUAUCCCCUCAAAGACCACCCAGCCUCCAUUCCAUGCCUGGAGAAAUGGGUGUGCUGGAGAAGCAGGGCAGGGCCCACCCUUCAGAUUUCCUCUGAGUCUCAGGGUUUUUCUGGUCUUGGGGCACACUUAUCCCACAUUCACUGAGCUACCUUGCAGGCAAUGGGUGGGCAACUGUCAGGCCAAGUGACCAUGGCUCUCAGGCCAGUUGUUUCCUUGCUUUCAAAUCAGUGGCUGACCCUGUGUUGUCCCCAGCCUGUUCCAAGCAGCCUGGGAGACUUCCAAGCAUGUCUUUUACAGGCCAGAUGUGCAUCCACUGGCUGUGAAUUCUUGCCUGGAGAACAGGUGGGUGGUAAUUAUUCUAGCAGAAGCUGACCGUGACUGGAAGCUAACGGGACAAUUCUAUCAAGCUGUCAAGAACAGAAACAGUGCUCUUUUUCUGAGUUUGCUCUUUUAGAGGGAGAGAGCAAUGCAAUCCAGGGCUAGAGCAAGAGUCUUGGCCCCUGUGGCAGAUUCUGGAGAGUCCUGGAAAUUCUCAUACCCCACCCCUCUCAUCUCCCUCCUCUCUCAAUUGACAUCCCAUAUGUAGUGAACAUCUGUUGUGUGCAUAUGCCCAGCACUCCUUCUCCUUCUUUGGGGAACAGAAAACCAAUUUUCCUUUGGGCAACUCCACCCCCCCCAAUUCCAUACAUUCCUUUUGGUGUUGCAGGCCAUGGGAUGCUCCUGUCCCUCCAUUCCCAAAGGGUGGACCCUGCACUCAUCAGACUUUGCUGAGAACUUUGAAUUUGGGUGGGAAUCACUCCGAACCAUUGAAGCUUAGAAGCAUCCAAAGACAGAUGGCUUAUGGUUGCCUUUGCCAUCAGAGUCCCGGAGCCGCCCUGGUCUCUGGUGUUCCCAGGCCUUGAGGAGUGCCUCCUUCUCUGCAUCUCUCCAGCCAAUUCUUAUCCCUCCAUUUAGCUCUCUUGAGCCAGCUUCCGUAACUUGCUGCCAAAGCCGCCGUGCCUCACACCCCCUGGCAUUCCAGCUUCCAUGUCCUGCUUUUCUCUUUCUCACAGCUCAUCUGUAAAUCACUUUGACUCUCUAGACCCCCCAAACCCUCCUGUUGCCUGUUCACACCCCUCACCACACCUCAAGAAACCAUCUCCAUCUGUCAGUAAAUAAAAACUUCUUUGCUCUCCUGGGGAUAGUAACAGGGAAAAGGUGAAAGGUACUCCAGGUACUCUGAAACAAACCCUGGCCACAUCUCCCUGCAUGCAUCAGUCCCUUGUGUACAGUGGGAAUUGCUUGGCUCCAGAACAGGAUCUUCAGAGCUGUUUAUGCUUCUCCUUCGAGUGAUAUCCCUUGAUACUCGUGAAGCUUUGUUCUUAGUGGAGCUACUGGCUUCAAAAUUCUGAUUCAGAGGGUUGAGGAGAUGGCUCACUGGUUAAGACCACUGGUUCUACUGGGCAAUCAUGGCACACACCUUUAAUCCCAGCACUGGGAGGGAGAAGCAGGUGGAUCUCUGAGUUCAAGGUCAGCCUGGUCUACAGAGUGAGUUCCAGGACAGCUGGGGAUACACAGAGAAAUCCUGUCUUGAAAAAAAAAAUUUUAAGAGCGCUGGUUCUAGAGGACCUGGGUUUGGUUCCCAGCACCCAUAUGGUGGCUCACAACCAUCUAUAACUUCAAUUCCAGGGGUUCUGAUGCCGUCUUCUGACCACCAGAUGUUGGUGCACAUGCACAUGGAAUACCAACACACACACAGUCAAAACACCCAUACACAUAAAAUAAAAAUAAGUAAAAAGAAACAGGGCAGUGGGUAGUCUAUUUGAUUCCAUCCAGUGGAGCAGCUAUAUUGUAAGGUCCUAAGCCAGGUGUCUGAGAUAACUGAUUAUGCUUUGAAUUCUAGUUCAGUCUUAUUCUAUUGGUGGUGGGGUUUGAACUCAAUCAGGGCUUCAUCAUUGCUGAGCAGACACCCUACUGUGGAGUUACCCUAGUGUUACCCUGAAUAAACAGACCCUCCUACCAUGGCUCCUAUGCCACUGAAUACAAUAGCAGAACUAAGCCACCCUUUGGCCAUAAAGGAGGGAAGGAAGGGCCUACAGUUUACAUCCAUGACCCACAGAGUUGCUGUCAAGAAUUUAGACAGCAACUGCGCUCAGCCCCAGGGACUCCUUGGGCCACGUCUUUCUGGGGGAGCUGCAUAUUGGAUGAUUCCAUUAAAAUGUUUAUCUGCAUCAGGGUCAAAUCAUGAGAGAGAAUCUAAUUGGGCCAGCUUGGGCUAUGUGCCUUGUGGCAAGUAUAGUAAUUGGCUAUUCAUCAAAAGACCUAGAAAACAGAAGAGCAAUUUGCUGAAGGAAAAGGAAUAGUUGUAUGAAAAUAAAAGGAGGGAUAGUGGGCACGGAUGGACACAGCCCAAGGUAGUCACAGACUAAAUGUAACCCUGUAGCCUGCUGAGUGCUUUAUUGCCUGUAUGGGGUUAUUCUCAUAGCAACCAUAGCUAAGCCUGAGGGCUGUAAUCAGUGAAAUCUGUGACUGCCAGAGGGCUAAGUCCCCUCAGGUUACAGCUGGGUGAACUGAGGCCCCAGGUGGGGAGCAGUUGUAGCCUAGGUUCUUUGUGUCUCUGGUCACAGCCUCAGUUCUAAACCGCAUCUGUCCUGAAAUAGUGCCAGUCUGACAGAAAGUCAGACUGGAUCCAUAGGCUCUGCUUCUGAUAGGAAAGCAGUGGGGGGGGGCCCUGAAAGUCCAUAUGGAAGCCAUUGGGAGGGUCACCCCACAUGUGAGAGGCUAAUGGGCAUGCACCAUAAAUAUCAAACUGCCCUAGCUGCACCCCUAUGCUGGGAGGUAAAGCCUAUAACACCCUGUCCAGGGUCCAAACAGAGACACCAGUCUGAGGCUUUGGACUUUGGGCUCCAAAGGGAGAAAACACCUGUAGGUGACCUGCUCCUACAUAAACACAAGCUGGUCCCAGAUCUUUAUUUGGGGGGUGUGUGUCCAGCUCUUGGCUCUGUGAUUUUCUGGAUUGUUCCUGUGUCUCCCAAAGUUUCCCCCGUGGUCUGGGGCAGUCAUGACAGAGGAUGCCAGGCUCUGGCUUACUUCCUACCCUGGACUCUUUUCCAUCAGUCCUGGCCAGAGCCCUGUAGAUCCAGACAAGCCCCUGUCCCUUUUGGUGUUUACAGUCUGCAAAUACUUGUGGCCAUUUAUACUGCCCUGCUGGGGCGGGGAGGACCGAUCCCUUCUGGUCAUUAAGCCCAGCCUGUCCCUCCCUGUUCAGCAUCUCUCCUCAUGGCCUGCCCCGGGCUGCAGCUGACAGCUUCCCUGGGACUUCUCCCCCUAAAGGUGCCCAGGAUCACUGCAACACCCGGGCCUUUCUGACUGCAACAGAGUCUCUUGACAUCUAAUUCCUACUCCCAGGAGGUCUGUCUCAGCAACCCUUUCCUCCUAGGUUCCAGCUUCUGCUGGGGAUGCCGGAUGUGGGGAGGGGGAUGAGCUCUGUUGCCAUUCUUCUGUCUUCUCCCGUCCUGCUGGCACUGAGAAGACCUUUCCUCUGCUGGCCUUCACAUGCUAGGCAGUUUCCACCUGCUUUCAGCUCAUGACUGCAGGUGUGACAUGGGCUAGACCUGUCUCCUUUCUGACACUAAGCUCAUGACUCUGCUCUACUUGGGUUGGUCACUUACCGUGACUUGUCCAGCUUGGCACAUAGAUGUAGCCUCCUGACCUCACUGACACCACUCUACUGAAAUCUCCCUCUCCCUGAGCCUUGCAUACUCUGGCUCUCUGUCUGGGGUCUUUUUUAGCUAACAUGAGCCAGGAUGAAGGUCCACAGACAGGCUUUGGACAGGGUGAGCAGAAAGCGCAAGUGAACCUCCUAAAUCUGGACGAGUUCUCAAGCUAUCGUGCCUGUCCUUUGUCUUUUGGGGAAACAUUUAAAUCAUCCUAGAUUAAUAAGAGUUCAAACAGGUGUUUUAAAUACAUCUGCCCUCGAACAAGGGGACUAUAAUGAACCUUUUAACCAUGAGCAUCUCUUUCGGCCUUCACUCCCCUCACACACUCAGCCAACAAUCCUCUAUGAGCUGAAAUCUUUUCCAUUCAGUUUCAAUCAACACACCUUAGUAGUACCCUCAGGGAACACAAGCAAACCGCCUGGAGACAAUGUCUUGGUAAACAUGGAAACCUGGUAAAGUGCCCUGGUGCCUCCUUUUGUCUCUGGGUUGAGGGGCUUCCGGGCCUUUCUUCUUGGCUUCUAUACAUUGUCCAUCCCAGCUGCUGCUUCACACCUUGCCUUUGGGGUUGUCCCAAGUUUCCUGACUCCCAUCUGGAACUCCGGGGCUGAGUGGAGCAUUACAAUCCAUCUGUGGGCUGUGAAAUCACUGAAGUGAGUCAUGACCAGCAUUAAAAUGCAAAACAGAAGAGAGGUAAUAGAAAACAUGAGAAUGCCUCCCACUGAACAAGGACGCCUCAUUUCAGUUAUUAUAUAUCCCUGUGUAUCCAGCCGUGUUGUAAGAUGGGCUUCCUGCUGUGAGUUGUGGUUAGACGUUUGAAAAACACUGCUU
ensembl:lncRNA